rnacentral:lncRNA from 1 species
AGGGAGGAAUGAAGAGGAUCCGGUAAGAGAGCUGUAAGCACAUCACUCAGUUCAGGAUGUACCGGAAAUUUAGCAAGCACCGGCAAAUCCCAUGUUCCCUUUUUUGGAAUCAUCUUGUUUCAUGGCUUCUCUGCUCUUCAAGUCCCUACAGCUAGAGACUUCAACUCUCACGGCCCACAGCCAGAGGCCGGUAAACAUGGCGAAAGCAAAAGCUUUAUCGAACAUCCGUUCAGGAGCCCAGCCCUGUGGAUUCUGGGAGGAGAGGUGAGUCACUAUGGAAAAUAUGUGGGACUUCAAAGAGAGUCAAGAGUGUCUUGCCCACACCACAGUCAGUAACGCAGGAUCCAAGCCAUGUCUGCGACCGACGCCAUAGCUCAUGGCAAUGCUAGAUCCUUAACCCACUGAACAAGGCCAGGGAUCAAACCCACAUCCUCAUGGAUACUCUUCAGGCUCAUUAUUGCUCAGCCAGAGCGGGAACCUGCAAGAGUGUCUUAAGGAGGACUUGUUGUGUGACAUAUAAAUAUAUAUUAUACAUAUAUUUUGUGACAUAUAGAAUAUAUAUGUAAUAUACAUAUUAUACCCAAUUGAUGCAU